AUGCUAGAUUAGAUUAGAUCUAAUUAAAAAAAAAUUUCAAUAUUACUUUGAUAUAAGGUUGUCCUGACAUAACGGUGGAACGUUAUGUUGUACGAUUGUCCUAGAACAAUGUUGAGACAAUAUAAAAAUUUUUAUUUUUACUUCAUACUUUAUUUAUAUUCAAAAUUUUUAAAAUUUUUGUAUGUAUACCGGUCACCAUGUGA
rnacentral:lncRNA from 1 species